AAUCUUCCGCAACGGACGAAAGUCUGACGGAGCGAUGCCGCGUGAGUGAUGAAGGCCUUCGGAUCGUAAAACUCUGUUGUUAGGGAAGAACAAGGAUCGGAGUAAUAUGCCGGUACCUUCACGGUAUCUAACCAGACAGCCCCGGCUGACUACGUGCAAGCAGCCGCGGUAAUACGUAGGGGGCAAGCGUUGUCCGGAAUUAUUGGGUGUAAAGGGCACGCAGGCGGUUAUUUAAGUCUGAUGUGAAAUCUUAUGGCUUAACCAAAAGCGGUCAUUCGUAACUGGAUAACUUGAGUACAGAAGAGGAGAGUGGAAUUCCACGUGUAGCGGUGAAAUGCGUAGAGAUGUGGAGGAACACCAGUGGCGAAGGCGGCUCUCUGGUCUGUAACUGACGCUGAGGUGCGAAAGCGUGGGUAGCGAACA
rnacentral:rRNA from 1 species